rnacentral:tRNA from 1 species
GCCCGAGUGAUGAAAUGGCAAACAUGCACGACUCAAAAUCGUGUGCCGAAAGGCUUGAGAGUUCGAGUCUCUCCUCGGGCA